rnacentral:lncRNA from 1 species
CUCGGACUCUCUCUCUCUCGCCUUGCCUCGUUAAUGAAAACUCCCCCCCUAAUUUCCAGAUUUUUUGGUCUUUCUUUUCUUCUUUCCAAAUUUUUGCAGCCGUCACUCUCAAUAAAUCUCCCUCGUUAGUUUCUUUCUUUCUUUCCCGUUGGCUUACUCUCCAAAAUCUCUCUAUCUUUUCCUCAGUUUUCACUCUUUCUUUAGUCUCUCUCUUUUUGGCCCAGAUUUUUCUCCCUUCGUAGCUUUCUCUUCUCUCCUUCUUGCGUCUGUUUCCUUUUUCCUAUCCAUAUUUUCGGCUCUCCC